CGCCCGCCGCCCGCCGCCCGCCCCCCGCGGCAGGGCGGAGGGAGGCCCCCCUGGCGGCGGCUGCAGCCCAGCCAAAACUCGGACAGGGAAAGCGGAAAGAACUCCGAGGUGGAGGCGUGGCCGGAGAGCCGGGCGGAGCCGGGGGUGGAGCUCGGAGCCGGCCCGGGACGCGGCCCGGGGAAGGUGUGCUAGGCUGGGGAGCCACCCGCACAGCCGAGGUCACAGCGCUGCCCGACGUGCCGAGGUCUCCAGGGAGGCCUCUCACGACCGAUCCCUUGCACUCGCUGCGUGUGCUUGUUCGUUCGUGCGCUCAUUCAAGAAAUGUUAUCGGACGCCCGUGACGGAAGCACAGCAAGAUGUCCCACACUCCUCUUAAUUUCCUGCCACAAGCCUGGAAUCAGCCUAUCUUUCAAGGUUUCCUUUCAGCAAAUAAGAAGAAGGAGAAGGAGGAGGAGGAGGAGGAGGAGGAGGAGGAGGAGGAAGAAGAGGAGGAGGAGGAGGAGAAGUUUUCAGAAAUAAAGGUAUAAACGAAGAGCCAAGUUUAUACAGAAGUGAUUUCUGGAUGGGUGCUACCAUCCUGGGACUUGUGAAGCAAAUAUUAGAAGUAGCAUUAAAUAAGUGAAAAUAUGUAAACAUUCUGAAAUGAAUCUGCUUUCCAAAGCAGACUUAGUAUUAAAAACGUGCCCCAGUAGAUAACCCUUCUUCAAUUUAGGAAAUACUCUGUUUCUUUAUGGUCUUUGCAGGAAAAAAUUUCACACCAGCUCUUACUGGGUAGAAUUUAGCAUCUGUGCCACUAGAUCCCUCAUUUUCAUAAAUUGGAGCAAAAUGGUAUUAUCUAACACCUUCUCUUUUCUGUGUCAGGGGACUCUUCAUCCCUUCAUCCAGCCUAAAUAGAUAAAGUACCAUGGCUCUGUUCACACCAUGGGAGCGAAGCUUUUUUUUAACCUUUAAAGCAGUGAUUGUUAACUUUCUCUUCCUUGGCUGCUGGAAGCUCAGCUGCCAUCAUGAAGGACACAGUAACGAUCUGGAGCAGGAGGUUCAUGACCAAUUGACCACUUCAGCAGAAACAGAUGGUCAUUGAUAUUCUUCACCUUGGAAAGUCACACACAGAGAGAGAGAGAGGCAGAGACACAGGCAGAGUGAGAAGCAGGCUCCAUGCACCGGGAGCCCGACGUGGGAUUCGAUCCCGGGUCUCCAGGAUCGCGCCCUGGGCCAAAGGCAGGCGCCAAACCGCUGCGCCACCCAGAGAUCCCAACAUCUUCAUUUCUAUAGUUCAGACAAUCAGUCCUAGCACAUGGGAGGUGGCCGUGUCUUGCCAAAAUCCGAGUACUUUUGAAAGUGAAAGACGAUGCUCAUGCUAUUACACCAGGACGAUGGACCCUUCCUAUCGGAGCAGUUUUACUACAUAAAGCCCAACUGACCAAAUCAGCACAGUCUCAGGGCAAGGUAACGUAUAAAUGUGUUACAGUAGCAUAUUUUAGAAGAAAAAGGCCGAUUUGUAGAAAAAUUUGUCAGACAGACCUGCAGCUCCCUCCUCUUUAUCUGUUUUUAUGCCCAUUCAUGGAAACGUUCCCUGCCAGUUUUACAGUCUUUCAUUCUGUUCUAAACAGCCUAAGUGUCUGCACA